AGAACACGUAUGUUCAGUUGCUCUUCGUUUAUUGUUUUGUUCGUGUGUUUUGUGCGAGUGCGUGACAAUUGUUUUUCGUUUUGUGUUUAGUGUUUUGUUUUGCUAUAUUUCAUAAAAUUUUAUGGUUUUUGUGGAAAUCGAUAGUGCCCGGAACUUCAUAAAUUUACCUGUUUCCGUCCACGUAAUGCCCUGGUUAGCCUUUCAGCGCUCACGGAAAGAUAGAAAUCUUCUGAGACAGACCUAGAGUGUUUUUAGAAGUGUAAAAAUUAAUAAAAGAAAUUUUGUAGAAUUUAACUUUAAUACUUCGUUAUAAUUUACGAAACAAAGGUCUAUACGUCCGAUACGGUAUUUCACGUAGUUAGGCCGUUUGCACACAGUCCGAUAAAAUCGGACGAUAUUAUCGGUGAUUGUGUCGGAUACACCAAUAAUACGUUAUUUUAAAUCAAUCGUUUACACACUAGUUCCGAUCCGAUAAAAUAUGUAUUUUUAAUUCACCGAUAUCGUUGUGCAUGUCGGACAAACGACCAAAAUCGAACAAUACUUUAUCGGUCCGGUUUUAAUGAUUACUAAAAAUAAAUGGUUCGUUUGCACACUCGUCGAUAUUAUCGGAAUAAUGAAAUAAAAUGUAGUUUUAAUUCCUCGCAUGUAUCUAAUAGGAACUUUCAAUAUUUAAGUAUUUUAAAUUUUGAAAAAUGAGUUACUUUCCCUACGACGUGCCAACUCUAAUUGAAUUAGUAGAAUCAAGACCAUGUCUUUGGGAUAAAACAACAAAUGAAUAUAAAGACAGAAAUCUUAAAAAUCAGAUAUUUUGUCUAGUAUUAAGGUAAAAGUAGAAAAGCUCAUGCGGAAAUAAUUAAAAAAAUUUUGUUCAUCAUCAAUUAGUUUUUGAAAUAGUGUAUAAAAAGCACCUUCAACAUAUCUUGCUGUUAAAAUAGGGUGCACCCAAAAAGUCCUCUUGCGUUUUUUUUGCUACUAAUUCACGUUUUUGUUUAAUGUGUAAUACCGCUAAGAGGGCGAUUUUCUUUUUGGAAUUCAUUUUAAAUUAUUAAACACUAGAAAUGGUAAGAAAUGUCUGACAGAUACAAGCCUAAUAACCGUAAUAAUAUGAUUUUUAUUCUUUUAUCGGACCGAUAAUUUUGACUUUGAUAAUUUUGUGCAAAAUAUAUCCGAUAUUAUUAUCGUUACCGAUUUUAUCGUCCGAUAUUAUCGGACUGUGUGCAAACGGCCUUACUCUUACACGUCUAGUACCAGUCCUCGCCGUAUGCUAACAAUAACCCAUUGAUCCCCAAACGAAUACAGAAUACUACCGUAAACAAAAAGAUUAUUGGGCAACGAAACACCUGCCAAGUACUUACUGUUUUGACAGUAGGGUACAUUACCCUUUUGGUCGUUCUUCGUUUGAUGAGGGACCAAUUGACGAUGUAGUAUACAGACCUGUACCUGUGUAUUCCGUUGAUAAUCAAAAAAAAAAAAAUGAUGGCGUCCGUUGCAUCAAAGCCGGCUGCUAGGCGAGUUUCCAAUGUAGUUACUGAUAUUGGAGCUGGCGUCCCAAAAUCGCCAGUGGUGCAUGAAUUGUAUGUAGACGCAUCGAGUAGUCUAACUAUCCGCGAUAAUUUGCUACCACCAGAAUCCCCUACAAAACGUUUACGCUCGACUUUUGAACACUGUGCACUGAAGUCGCCAUUGAAGUUCCCUCAUAAAGUGAAAUAUUCCGCCGAGGAAGAACUUAUAUUGCGUCGGUUGGUAUUGACGAACGACCCCAUUCUUUCGUCAUUCGACAAUAUACUUAAAUUAUUAAAAACCCUUCCAUUUAACGAGGUACCUACUAGGUCAGUGAUAUCCAUUCGGACAAAAGUAAGAGAUAUUAAGAAGCAGCUUCAACAACAGUAGAAAUUUUAUUCAUUGCCGAUUUCAAAUUGGAAUUAAGAAUAUCACUUGAUUCUGAGAAAACAUUCAAAGAUUGUUUAAUCGAUUCCAUAUUGGCCGAGAAAGAUUCGAUUUGUUUAAAUUUGUCCUUCAUAUCAGUCUUAUUCGUAUCAAGAUCGGUCAUCUCAUUUAAGUUGUCUAUUAAAUGCAAAUUAUUUUUCAACUUCUUACUCGAUGAAACUUGUUGAAGUCUUUCGUUGCAACGUUCACAGUUCCAGACAUCCUUAACGUUUUUGUAGCUGUCAAAAGUUGUAAGCUCCGUACACAUUGGAUGGAAAAUUGAACUACAGUUGUUACACACUGCCGAUUUUGUCGCGGAAACUCUAACAUUACAUUUGCUACAAGACAUGAUUUUGAUAUGAGAACGAACUGGAUAGAACCAACACGAUUACGCGAUGCACUACUAUAGUCAACAACUGGAGACCACGAAAGUCUGAAAAAUCCGACACACGUAAACACGAUACACUUUUCGGUUAUAGUCUUAAAACUGAAUAGUAACAACUACUGCAAACGUACAAUUAAACAUCUAUUGUUUUUUCGACAAUGAAUUACUACAGAGUAUUACUCUCUGCAUUAGAGCAUCAAACGAAAAGUACAAUAAUGAAUGGCCACGGACGUGUAGGACUUCACUGUGAGCAGUAAACGCGGUUUCGAAGUGUUUUAGUGCAUUAGUGUGCUUUCCAACAGUCUUAACCUCAAACAUUUUAAAAAUUCGUUUCAGUGGGACGAAUACUAAGCAACAGUGUCAACAACCAGAAAAUACUGAUGAAUCAUCGUAAUCGAUAAUGAUUAUUUACAUAGAUAGAUAAGGGAAUUUGCUGUGAUUGUAUUGCAAUUGAUUUUAGAAUAUAUUUAUUUAUUUGACGACCAAGGGCAUUAGCGUAUAAAAACUAAUUAUAAUUCAAAGUCCAAACAAAGAUGCCGAAAUUUUGAUUCGGAAUCGUAGUCGAAAUCGAAUUAGCUAACUAAUUCGAUUUCAACUACGAUGGUUAACCACUGGUUAUAACCUGUUGGUUAAAAAAAAUGGUCACGAUGAUCCGGGUGUGUAUAGUUAAGUGAAAAUAGAUCCCGCCCGGCCUUCGGUUCGAUGAAAAAAAAAAUAAAUGAAUAAAUGGUUACUACGAAUGGCCAAACGGAACAAAAGGACAGUUGACAGUCCUCCGAUCGAGAAACAUCAUCGUCGAAUCCGAUUAUCAGCUGUUUUAAUAUCAAUAAUAUUAUUGGCGGGUUUCUUGUUGUCAAUGUGCGCCCGACCUGCGUAUAAAACAACGACGUUAUAUAAGUAAGUUUAUAGAAAGGUACAUCAAUUUUAAUCCACCCUCAUAUUUAGCUUUGCGGAACAUGACGUCUUGUUGAUUAUUUACCGCUUAAGCUCAAACAACCUACGCUGUUCGAUUGGAUAACUGUCUCCAAAAGUGUAUGUACUUGAAGGUCUUCGGUGCAUGAUUGACAGAUAUUAUUUUUAUCUAAUAUUAAGCAGUGUUCAUUUUUUUCGCAAUUAUGUGCUUUACGUAAGAAGAUUUGUUCGAUUGUGAUAUAAUAAUAUCAGUUGGAUGUAAAGCUAUCAAAACAAUAGAUAUUUCAUUUUCUUUGUUUAGAUCUAUAAUAUAUUAUAAAAAACAUAUUUUAAAACUUUUAUAUGCCGGAUGCUAACAAAUAAAAAAUAUAAAUGUAAAUGUGAAAACUCAUUUAUAGUGUUUCACAUAAUUAUGAUUAGUCUGUAGAUUUAUAUAUGUUAUAACAAUCGAACGAAAACGCACGUACAUGAUACAUCAUAUGAAAACUAUUCACUGAAAACCAUCCACCAAAUAUAUAAAAAAGGCUCUGGAUCAACAUUAAUUUCAGACGUGUCUAGCCAUCCAGUAUGAACACCCCGCUUACUAUUGUCUUCGCUGUUUUUUGUCUAAGUGUUAAAUAUAUUAUAAAAUAUUAUAGUAAUAGUAUUCUUAUAAGUUAAUCAUUGAACUUUUCUCAUCACAACACUUAGAUAAAUAACUUAAAUAUAAACAUUAUUGUGGCACUGUCGAAUAACUGGCGGGGCACGCUACAAAGCUUUUAAAUAAGUAUUAUGUUAAUUUUAAAAUCACUUUAAAUACCCAUUACAUUUUGAGUUAAAGUGUUUAAUUAAUAAAUAUUCAGUAUAUUUGUGUAAUUUUCCAUUACUUGCUAAUUUAUACUUACAUUUUUUAAUA